rnacentral:rRNA from 1 species
AUGCAUGAACUAGUAAAAGAAAAAUCGGCUGCAGGGCCGCAUGAAGAUCAUGAAGCGGAUCGCGGAAGCCAGCAGCGGAGAAGCAGCGUGGCUUCCACGGAUGCCCCGCCUGGUGCUAAUGCACCGAUGAUCGAGAUUCGUGCACCGGAGCCUCAGUACCCCGUGGAUGAUGUAAAGGAGAUGAAAGAAUGUGAUCUGCAUUAUCCCAUGGGGAACGUUUCCACGAAGGUAGCUACCGGCAGUGCUUUACCCUGUACACCUGGAGCACUCCACCACAACAACCCCAUUGCAUAUGGCUAUGCUCGUGUCACGGUGGAAGACAUAGUCCAAGAGUUUGAGGACCUGGAGAUUGACAAAGCUACACCCAAAGGGGAGAGAAGACUUGGAGAUGUCAAGCGCCAGAUCAUUCUUUGGAAAAAGAAGUACAUAGUGUUUCCAGGCGAGGCGCCAAGGCUAACAAGUCCACCCCCCUCCGAUGGUGGUGGUGGUGGUGGUGGUGGCGGUGGUGGUGGUCGUGGUGGUUCACCUACACCUCCUUCACGCCAUUCGACGCCGUCCCCCGAUCCACAAUCUCCGGCGGGUAAGCAGCCGCCGCCCCCCAAUCCUCCUCCGGCGGGUACGACGCCCCCCAAUCCUUCUCCGGCGGGUACGACGCCCCCCAAUCCACCUCCGGCGAAGAAGCAGUAG